GUGCUCACUUGGGCAGCACAUACACUAAAAUUGGAACCAUACAGAGAAGAUCAGCAUGGCCUCUGGGCAAGGAUAACAUACAAAUUUGAGAAGUGUUCCAUAUUUAA
rnacentral:snRNA from 1 species